AAAGAUCUGUGUGUGGAUGGUGUUCAGUACCAGGGACAGGUCUGUUAACAUGUAUGUAGAUGGUGUUCAGUACCAAGGACAGGUCUUUUUACUA
rnacentral:pre_miRNA from 1 species